AUUGAACGCUGGCGGAAUGCUUUACACAUGCAAGUCGAACGGCAGCACGGACUUCGGUCUGGUGGCGAGUGGCGAACGGGUGAGUAAUGUAUCGGAACGUGCCCAGUCGUGGGGGAUAACGUAGUGAAAAUUACGCUAAUACCGCAUACGAUCUAUGGAUGAAAGCGGGGGAUCGCAAGACCUCGCGCGAUUGGAGCGGCCGAUAUCAGAUUAGGUAGUUGGUGGGGUAAAGGCCCACCAAGCCAACGAUCUGUAGCUGGUCUGAGAGGACGACCAGCAACGCUGGAACUGGGACACGGUCCAGACUCCUACGGGAGGCAGCAGUGGGGAAUUUUGGACAAUGGGCGAAAGCCUGAUCCAGCCAUUCCGCGUGCAGGAUGAAGGCCCUCGGGUUGUAAACUGCUUUUGUACAGAACGAAAAGGUUUCUACUAAUACUAGGAGCUCAUGACGGUACUGUAAGAAUAAGCACCGGCUAACUACGUGCCAGCCGCCGCCGUAA
rnacentral:rRNA from 1 species